rnacentral:lncRNA from 1 species
UUCUUCCCAAAUAUCCAACCCUACAAUGAUCAAUUGCAUGCAUGCCGUUCUGUCUUUUUGCCAUAUCCUAUACGCUGAUCUCAGAGACCAUUUUUUGAUCCGUCCCGUGUUCUUUACACAAAUCUCACAAUCAAUCUCAGGAUCUCAUAAACAAAACUCACCAUAGGUUCGACUCAUACCAUCACAAGCAACCCUGCCGAUGAUGUACUAUUAUUCCAAAUCAAUAUACAUCGCAAAGAUGGCUUUCCCUAAAAAAAGAACUCUCACGAGCGAGUGCCCCAAUCUCCUCGAUUGUGCCAUCGGCUCCAUCAAGUUUUCCUAAAAAAUAACUCUCACGAGCGAGUGCCCCAAUCUUCUCAGUUGUGUGUCGUCGAUUCCAUCAGGUGAGCAGAUCACCUCCAGCAGCUGGACCAUCUGCAGAUAUCAUAUAGAACUGACAUAAAGUUCAAUAUUUUCUUAAAAGUAAGAGCAAAAACGACAGAACAACUAAUGUCUUCAAUUCAAGGUAUGACAACACAAUCAAGAGCUUUUAAUUCAUGUAAAAUGGCUUUUUAAACUUCUCCUAAGUUCCCCUUGUGGAUUUUCAGUCAUUAUUAUACAUCAACUUCUCAUCCUCAAUUGCAAUCUUAUCUUAUUCUUAGAUUUCAAUCUUUCUUAACAGCAAGAACAGAAUGAGUAGUAUAAUGCACGUCUUCAAUUCAAGGUAUGACAACACAAUCAAAUGCUUUUAGUUCAGAAAGAGGUGGAAAAACUACAUGCACAAUAUCAGAUUGUACAACUCCAUGUUCGCUUUCACAUCAAUGGGAGGAGAGGUAGACACAGAAAAAAAAUGGUCCCGUGCCUCAUGUAUUUGGAAUGAAUGGCCAAAAAUAUCACAGAUAGGUACUCUACUACCUGAAGGUAAAGACAAACCACGCACAACAUAGUUGCACACCUAUGCCACUACAAAUGAGGUAAGAAUCAGAGUUGACGCAUCAACAUCAGAAGAUAAAAGGGAAUCAACAGAUAUUCUCAUUGUCGAGGGCCUUAAAAAUAUAUUGGAUAAAUAUAAUAGACUAGCAAAAGUACUCAGAAUGGCAAGGGAUAAAUCCUUCUCCUGGUCGCCUCGGGCCUCCUUUUAUAGAAAAAGGGGUUGCCACAGUGGCACACAGGAGGUGGAAAGGGUACAGUGAUGCGAGGUUAUCCCUUGCAUUACAUGACAAGGUGCAUUUAAUGCGUCUUGCUUAGGUGUCCUUGCUUUAUCGGGGACGGGGGUGAAGCCUGUCCCAUCCGUCGCCGCUCCUCCUCGUGUCGACCCACGCCCUGGCCAGCGAUGCCCGUGGUGCCAUGUAGGCAGGCAGGCAGCUGAGGUGGCGCGGUGGUGGUGUCUUCACGAAGAUUUGCAUGCCGCCACGCAGGUGCCUGCCGAGUUGGUUGGGUCGGCAGUGGUACGCGAACGGAAGUGGAGACUUGGUUGGCGUGGGCCUGAUGGUGGUCCUGUGGGUGUCCUCGGCAAGGGCCUUGCCGGGGCCCCGGCAAGGGUCUUGCCGAGGCGCCUGCUGUCAUCCCCGGCAAGGCGCCUGCUGUCAUCCCCGGCAAGGCGCCUGCCGGGGGCCUUGUGGUCUUCCUUGGUUGGGAUACAGCCAAGGGUCGUCAUCUUCUAUAGCGCGUACCUUAUCUUGAAUGUCUUCACAUAGAUCUGCAUGCCACCAUGGGGAUGUCUCCCGAAUCCUUGCCCCAUGGGGGCAGUGGACUCAAGGGUGAUCUGCUCCGUAUGUGUGGGGCGAGUUGCCGCGGCAAGGGCCUUGCCGGGGUUGCUAAAACAGUCUCCCGACAAGGAUCUUGCCGGGGGAGUCCGCUUCGUCCCCUGUGCUCUUCGUGGUCUUGGCCUUGGCGUUGCUCCAGUUCUCUUGAGCUUCAGUCUUUCCCUGGCUCACCCCCCUUGCCUUGCUUGGUGUGGUGGUGCCCGUGGCUCAGACUGCCCGUGCACAGUUAUAGGGGUACAAAAAGUGUACCCCUCUUUUUGUACACCGACAGCCGUGUGCGUUACGGCGGCGGUGCCAUGGCGGCGCUCGGGCGAGGGGAAAAUAGAGAGGGAGCAAGGGGAGAGUGAGCGAGAUGGAGAGGGGGAUCUGAGGGCGCUAGGAUUAGGGUUAGUGCCAGGGAGGGGUGGCCGGCAACUUGAGGGCGCCGGGAAGCGGCGGAUGGACGCCGCGUGUCCAUGAGCGGCGUGUGCGGGCGCGCUGCGGCCAGCGCACGAGGUGAACAUGGAGAGGAAGGGGGGGCAGGGAAGAGGGCUGGGCUAUGCACUGUAGCAAUGGGCUACAAGUGCACAGUGGUAGAUAGGCCCUUUUCUAUUUGUUCUUUUCUGUUUUUAGCCUUUAUUUAUUAACAGAGAGAGAAAGGGAAUUAUUUGGUCAGCUAUUUCACUUAGGAAAAAUUUGGUAGGUGUCCCAUUAAAUCCAUGGUGAUUAUAGAUAGUGUCGCAAAUAUUUUGGAGACCAUAGGAAUUCAUUUGGUACUUUUCAUAAAUAGGAUAGCAUUUAAAAGUGAUGAAUUGGUGCUGUUAUAAUUGCUAAUGCUCAUCUUUGCACAAAAGUGAUGUUGUGUUCCUUAACAAAUAAUUGUUAUGGAAUUUUUGACAAAUGAUGAACAUUUUUCCAGCAACUUUUGAGCAACCUCAAACUUCACUUGAAUUUGAUUUGACUGGAAUUUCAAAUGGGAUAUUGAAUGAAGGUGAUUAAGCACUAUUUGGAAAAAAUGAUUAGUUUAAUCACAGAGGGUUACUGUAGCAUGACACUGGGGGUGUUACAAGUAGAUUACAAUAUGAACUACUAGUACAUACUCCAAACACUUGUGUAUAUAGACGUAUUUUUAGUGUAGAUUCACUCAUUUUGCUCUGUUUGUAGUCCAUAUUGAAAUGGAUGUAAUAGUACGCACUCUCCCUCGCCCACGUGGUGUACGUGCAGUAAUUCAUUCGGUCUCAUAUAGCCAGAACGAUAUAUACUACAAUACUAUUACUUCUCGACUUCCCGAAGAGGCGAAGAGCCAAUCGCAAGGUUAAUAUUUUGGAGAUGCCAAGCGCAAAGUUUAUAGGAGAGCAAGUAGUAAGUGCCGCGUCAUUUAUAAAUAAAGUUGUUUUUCUUCAGUGGCAUGUACGCAAUAUAAAUAGGUUCAUAUGGAGAGAAAAGGAAACCACUUCACUAUAUACAUAGGCAGGACGAGCCUACAUGGUUGCUUGCUGGGGUUGCUAUCCUCACACUCUCUCGCACAAAACGACUGUGGCCACAUCUCUAACAUCCCGGCGGAUCACGUCCGCUGGGGGAAGGGGUGGAUGCUUAGUGUAGAUGUGGUCGCCAUCGACGACAGCGAAAACCCACUAUCAGCACGUCCCGAUCAGGCGUCCCCGCCGGUCUCUCUCACAAAGCCGGUGAGGUUGCCUUCUUCCCUUGCUCACUGCCGCGACGUGGGCAGUUGCCGCCUCCCGCCGCCCUCCUCUAGGUUGAGCUACGUCCCAACAUCCCUCAGGUACAACUCCCUUUACAGCCGGCUUGCACCACUGGUCCAGCUGCCCACAUAACUCCAUGUGGAUAUUUCUCUACUUCUUUGCCCCGCACAUACCUCUACUGGCUUAUACUUACUGUAUUUGUGAUGAGUUUAUGUUUCAUCAACUAGUCCCAAUAAUCUUAUUCUAAUCACGCUUCUUCAAUUUCUUUGCCACAGGGAUGCUCAUCUCGAUUUUGGUGACACUGCACAAAAUGGUCCGAUGGUCAAAGGGUUGCAAACUUCAUUUCUUCGGAAGCUCCAACGUUGCCAGGAAAUUAAAGCCUGGUUAGAGUUCACGGUUCAAGGGCUAGGGACUGCAUGGAUCAUUUUUUUCUUUAGUUUCUCUGUUCCAAAAUAAGUGUCAACUUUAGUAGUAGUACAACUUUGUACUAAAGUUUGCAUAAAGUUGAGACACUUAUUUUGGAACGGAGGGAGUACAUAUUGGCUAUGAUCUGUCAAUCAUUGAGAUGCAAUAGCAUUCAUGUUAGUCUCCUUUGUAUUUGAUGAAAUGUUGCAACGGGCAACCUUGGACGCAAGAUACAUGAAACAGAAGUUGGAAGCUUCAUAGCAUUGUACAAAUUUAUCUCGCUGAUAAAUUAUAGUACGUACUAUACUAGUAGUACUAUGUAAAGAGUUAGGUGUCACACGGUGUCCAGAAGAUAUGGUUAUAAUGUGAGGUGGUCCAUGUAAUCACCGAGCCUGCGUGUUUUGACUCCUCUCGCACUCCUCUGUUGUAAGAAUGGAGAAAAUUGUAAUCUAGUAGUACCUCCUUUCGCUGAAAGCAUGGGACCUCCAGCAGUUCAACACCUUAGUAAUAAUGACCAAUGAGUCGUCAAAUCACAUAGACCUAGCAGUAAGUUGGACGGACGAAGCAACCAUCACUCUUGUAUCCACUUCUCUCUUCAACGUAGGCGCUAGUGAUAGGUCGCGUCUGCUCUGCCCAAGCAUGAAUGCGGCACCGAUUCUUUGGAGCAGCGCUGACUGUUUCGGGAGGGAAGCGCGCGCAGGCGAUGGAGGGGCUUUGAGUGGGCCUAGCUAGUCAGGAGCGGGCAUGGCAGCGGUCCGCCUGUCCCGACCGGAUGCCCGGAAGAGGAUUCACCGACUCUCGCGGCUAAAUCGUACACUACACACCAUCUCUCUGUAGGAGUAGGUCGAUGUGUCGCUCUCUCUAACACACACAUACUGUUAAACACACACGCACACGCACACACAGGUUCAUAGAAUAGGAAUAUCGUGCGAGUUACAUUGGGAGUGUUUCGAUCCUUAGCAAGCACGGUUUAUAGCCUAGCCUGGCAAGGUUAGGCGCUUGGAACUGUUAAAAUACGUUAGCUUUUGUGAGCCAGCUAGCUUGGGUGGGCUAGAAAAACCUUGCUAGCUCAGGAGAGCCAGAUUGUCUUGCUUCCGACGGCAAACUUCGCGUACUACCUCUGUCCUGGUUUAUUGGUCCCCAUUGUAUUUCGUGUCAAAUUUUGACCAUAGAUUGAACUAACAAAAUGUUCAUGCAUGUCACAAAAAAUAUAUCAUUGACAACUAUGUUCAAAUACGAAUCCAACAAUAUAAUUUUUGUUUACAUGCAUUAACAUUUUGUUAGUUAAAUCUUUGGUGAAAAUUUGGCACAAAAUACAAAGGGGACCUAUAAACCAGGACGAAUGUACUAGUAGUAACAUAGACUAGUAACAUAUGCAUGUUACUAGUCCAAGUUACUCACCAAUAUGACCAUUCUAAGCAAUGGAACCAAACACUCCUUACUCUGCCUUGUUAUCUCCCCUAGAAACCCAAUGCACGGAGCGCAACUACGCGUUGAUCAGUCAAGAAAUCGAAGUCGGCUUGCAUGCGAGUUAAUACAUGGCCCUGCAUGGUAGCUAAAACGGCAUCUCUUAGUUGUUGGGAUUAAUUGUUGCAUUUAGAGACAGAAAUCAGGGCUUUGAUUGGAGGAAGGACUCAAGUUUCUCCUUCUCCUCCAAUCUUCUUGCACCUUGGUCCCGCUGCACCUUCUAACAUGACUUAUUACACCUAGACGGAGGGAGUAGUACAAGAUACGGUGGCACACUGACUUAGGUCGAAUACAAGUGCCCAAAAUUGUGUGCAUGUUAUAAUAAGGAUUCACUUAAAAUAGUACGUGAGCGAACAGAGGGAUCAAUUGGACAGUGUUCACGAGCAGUAGCGAGAUGUGUGAGGUAAGAUACACCACCGGCGCUUUUAAUUUUUCUUAUUAAUUUGUUUGUUUCACCCUCUGACUGGUGGGACCCAACGUACUACAUGGAGAGAGGUAAGGUGACUAAGGCUGCAUUAUUUCUGUACUACCAACACUGCUUUAAAUCCCAAAAGAGCUAACCACCCAAGCCACAUGACAUGAUUAUGAUUUAAAUCCCAGUGACUCGCACGCAAAAAAACACGGCAUGCUUGUCACACGGAUGCAGGAAUGUAUAAAAGGUUAUUUUCCUCUCGUUGAACAUAACGGGAGGGUGGUGUAGCUGGUUAGCCUGUUCGCUCAUCAAACUUGAGGUCUCAGGUUGGAUAACUACACUUGAGCAUAAUUUUGUUUUUGUUCGACUUCUUUCUUCCACCCAAUGACAGGUAGGCCCCGCAUGACAGAGAGAGAAAGUGAUCUAGGGUGGUGCCAGGAGGAUUCUUUGACUGGUCAAAAUGGAUGGAUACGGAGCAAUGCGAUCUCAUAGUGACUGUAUAAUCACCUCAUCACGUAUACGCUGCAGCCUCGGCGCUUGUUUUCUAGGGUUUGCACUAUUCAUACUGUCUCCCUCCAAUAUAUAUAUAUAUAUACAUAUACACGUUGGAGCCUCAGCGCUUGUAGUUGCUCUCUUCACACUCUCUCACCCUCUCUAGAUCUAAACAAGACUUCGUUGGCCUCUCUCUCUCCCCUCACUGCCGUUCAAAGAGUCGGCAGGAUCCGUCCGCCGAGAAGGGAAGGAGGCUUAACGUUGUCGCCGUCGGCGAGGGAGGGAAUCCACCACCGGCGCAGUUGUUCUCUUUCACCCAGCGGCGGUGCGGGAGAGCCUCCGACACCUUCUUCCUCGCCACCGUACGUAGUGUGGGCCGAACGGCCUCCGGUCGCCCACUGAACCACACCACAAGAACCUUAAGGUAUAAUUUACUUAUUCCACGUGCAUUUCUCUAGCUGCAUGUGGGCUUUUUCCGCUUCUGCACUCGAAUCUAGGUGUUGGAUCAAAUAGGAAAGUAGUGGGGAAAGUUGUAUAGCAUGAAUCUAGGAUGUGGUUCAAAUAGGAAAGGAAUGGGCGAAAGUAGUGGGGAAAGUUGUAUAGCAUGAAUCCAGGACGUGGUUCAAAAAGGAAAGGAAGGGGGAAAGUUGUAUAGCAUGAAUGUUAAGACGUGGUUCAAAGAGGAAAGGAAUGGGGGAACAUAUUGGGGAAAGUUGUAUAGCAUGAAUCUAGGAUGUGGUUCAAAGAGGAAUGGAAGGGGGGAAAGUACUAGUACAGACUGGCUAUCCAACACCUACGUUGGUCGAAAAGGGAAAACAAUGACAAAUGCAGCAUGCACAUCUAUGAUGAACUGAUCUUUUUGUUUUGGGGGACAAGGCUGUAGAGUUUGAGCAUGACUAGAUUUGCUGCACUCACAUAGGGAAAGGUGUCUAAAUAUAACAAAACUGGGGCCAACACAAAUAUGCUCCUUGGUUGUUUGUUCUUUGUUGCAACAGACUAUGCAUCACCCCUUCAUACAUCGGUAGAUGCACAUGGUGAUGGCGCGUCCACUGUCCCGUGCAACUCUUUAGCUGUUGUUAAUCUAAGGCCUUGUUUAGUUAAAAAGUCCCUAGUCCCUACUUGCUUGGUUCCAGGGACUAAACAUCGACUAGAGGUUAUUAAAUAACAUGCUAAAAGACCAUGUUACCCCUAGUAAUGAACUAAUAGAGACAAGGUGCGAUGCGGGGCAGGGGCAACUGUUGGAAAAAGUCGCAAAAAGACUCUCCCUCGGGGUCUUCUUUCUUUAGUCCCAAAUGCCCACUUUUAGUCCCUAAAAGUCCCUCCUGUUUGGUUUAGAUGGGACUGACAUGGACUUUUUUUAGUCCCUACACCAAAAAGUCCCGGUAAACAAACACCCUCUAAUAAUGCCGCCGGAAAAUUGAUGCAAUGCCACAGUUAAAAGCAAAUUACAUGUUUAACGAAUUUUAUUGUUAAUAUAUUCUCUAUGUUAAUAUUAAUAAUUGCCACUAUUUGAGAAAUGCUACUGUCUUGCUUUCUUUCCCAUUUAGAUAAGUUAUAUGCUUCUUUUUUGUUGGUUUCUGUGUCAUCCACCGUUAUUGACCACUAGUUGUUUCCUUUGCACCUCUGUGUAAACAGGGUUAUUUACUUCACCUCAUUGCUAUUGUGACCUUUUGUUGCACUGCACAAAACACUUUUGUUUUAAGAGUGUUUUGUGCAGUUCAACCAAAAUAUCACACCGACAACAUUGCUUGAUUGCUUGAUCUUAGUGGAACUGCACAAGAGGAGAUCUUACUUCCUAUCCGUGUUGGCAAAUUUGGUUCAGAUCUUCUUCUUGUGAGUUGUUUGAAUUCCGCAUCAUGAGAGGUCAGUACUAGCUUGCUUUCACAUGAUUGUGCAGUGUGCUUUCAUAUGUUGUGCUAGUUGUACGGUAAUGUUGCUUGAUUGUAGUGAACUGCACAAGUGGAAACAAGACUUCCAAUCUGUAUGUGCACCGUAAUAUCCCAUUGAGGUAAGAUAAGGAUAUUUCACAACUGUUGGCCUGUAUUUUGCCACUUUCAUCAGAAAAUUAAUGUCAUUGUUUAGUGCCAUACUUGUGCUCCCUAAUUGACAUGCCAAAUCUUACAUUGAAGGCGAAGCUUGUCUGUUAUUGAACCAAGUGAUGAAGGGGAAGAACAAGUGGAAGCAAAACAAAAAUCAACUCUCGGUGAUGUAAUGAAGCACUAGAACUGUGAUGACACAAGCAAUGAUAUAGUUUUGCAUCUUAAUUUAUUGCUAUGGCUGGAACGAGCAAUUGUUUUGCCACUGAUUUGAUGCCACUCUUGAUGUAAUAUGUAAUUAUCUCUACUUGUGCAAAUAGGGAUCUUCUUUGAAGAUACCAUAUAUUUUAGUGGAACUGCACAAGAAGAUGUUGGAAACAUUAAGCUAAUCGAGGAGUAUAUAGUAAGCAUGGCAACCACAAUAGAUAACAACAGAUGGUUCCAGAGAAGUGCUUGAUAUGUAUGCUCUACACAACAAGCCUCCUGACAAAGGUUGGUACUCGCCCACGGAUUUCAUUCAUAUGAUUGAGCUUUGUCAUCUCUAUUGGUGUUGUGCUACUGUUUAGAUACUGUCAUGAGAAAGUGGUAUUGUCCUUGAGAAGUGCUUCAUCUAUGUUGUUUUAAAUAUUUCCUUUCCUUUUUUCCGAGCAAACAGAGAUGCUAGCAUUUAGUUGUCCUCUUGUCUUUGCACAACAGGAUCAUCCUCCUCUGAAGAAGAAUAUGGAGUACGUGAAGUGACUAGUUCUGAUUAUGCCAGGAUGAAGAAGCCAUGUCUAUCUUCUCAUCAGAAGGAGCAGUUGAAGGAUGGUUACAUUACUCCCCACAAGACCAAACUAACUUCAGCUCAGAAGGACUGGCAUAUCUCCAUCUUUUUGCUGUGAUGCGCAAGUACAAUGUUGUUCUAGGAUUCUUUCCGGUGAGUUCCAUUUUUUUAAGGUGUGCUCUACAUGGACCAUGUAGGUGCCUAUUUAAACUGUCAAUUCAUAGUACAUUUUUCUUACUACUAAUCACUUUUUUUGUAUUUGUGCAAACAGGGGUGCUCAGCUUGAUUUCAAUGGGAACUGCACAAAAUGUUUAUGAAUACAUUGAAUCAUUCAUUUCCACCACAAGAAAGGAGGUGCCGAUAUGUUCAAGGCAUUGCAACAUAUAAGGGCGAAAUCAUACAAGCUACGCGCGAAUUUGGUCGAUUUUGGUGGAACUGCACAAAAAGAACAGCUGGUUUAUUUAGCACGAGGUGCCAUGCCAAUGUCCGAACUGAUGGCCAACCCUGCCUAUUCCACAAUCGUAGGCAUUUGAUAUUUUGGAAUGGGAAACCUUGUCAAUGUUUGCUCAUUGAUGUAUGCAAAACAACAAGCAUUUGACAUUUUGGAAUGGGACAACCUUGUCAAAUUUUGCUCAUUGAUGUUAGCAAGAAGACAUGCGUUUGAUAUUUUCGAAUGGGAUGCCCUUUGCUGUCAGUAGCGUCAAUCUAUUUUUCUUUAUUCUUUAGUUGUGAAGUAAAUAUUGGCUCUAACAUGUGAAUCGCUGAGAUGCAUAAUCAUCGAUUGUUUUGAAUGUUCUCUAUGAAUUGCCAGGCCUGCGUGUUUGAUUGCAAUGUACAGGAACGCUAAAAAGCUUCUCAAACUCUUUGUACUCCAGUCAAAGUAGAGAUACUUUGACUGCACACAAAACUUGUAUGCAGACUAAAAAGGACCAGAGGGAGUACAUGUGAAACUGUUGCAAAUGAGGUGAUCACGCUGGGAAUAAUGCUAGUACAUUUUGUUUUGCAUGUUCAUCCAAUGCCAGUGACACAAGAAUUCGAACUAAUCGAAUUAAAUUCAUUCAUGCAUGGUCGGAUUUCAUAUAAACAUGUCGGAUUUCAUUACAUUUCAUACAUUCUUCAAGUAAAAAGGGGUGCACUGGAGGUAUAAUUAAUUAACUGAAGCUACCCACCUGUGUCCGGUUGAGCCGAACAGAAGCUUCUUCUCCAGCGGACUAAGCUUCAGUGACUUAACUGCAGGUGCAGUUGCAUAACUGACAUGUGGCCCAGAUGCUUGUUGGGCCCAUGUUUCAGUGAGCCAACUGCACCAGCAGUUAAGUAGAAGCAGCGUCCUUCUCCAACAUAGCUCUCCGACUCCACGUCGCCGCCAAGAAGCUAAUCGGCCGUCAAUGGUCAACCCGCCUAGCUUGGCUUCAACCGGAGGGUAGCAGCGGUGGCCUUACUUGGACCCGAGCGGCGGCGACCUACCGUGUUAUACUCUUCCUCGUUUUCUGUGUGGCGUGGCCUUGUUGGCAGCGGGGCGGGGCCUUGACGGAGCCGGCGAUGUCCUCUGUCUCGUCGCCGGCGGGGCGGCGCCUUGGCGGAGCGGGGGAAAUCCUCCCCCUCAUUGCCGGCAGGGUGGGGCCUCGGCUGAGCCGGUGAUGUCCUCUGCCUCGUUGUUGGCGGGGCGGGGCCUCAGCGGAGUAGGGCCUCCGCCUCGGUGCCGGCAGGGCGGGGCCUCGGUGGAGCCGACGGUGUCCUCUGCCUCGUUGUUGGCACCGCGGGGCCUCGGCGGAGCAGGGCCUCGUCGACGCCAAUGGAGAGGGGACUCGUCGGAGCCGAAUUUGUCCUCUGCCUCGUCCUCGGUCUCGCCAAAUAGUGCCUCGCCUGCUUCAUCGCCCUCUUUGUAGGCGGCCGCAGCCUCGGCUACCCGCAUGCAGUACCGCCAACGCUCGAGGCGACCCUUGCGGGCGGAGCGGUACGAGUCGAGCUAUGCCUCCUGCUCCGCCUGCUCCGCGGUGAUCAACUCCUCCGACUGCAGGUGCUCCUGGAGGAGAUGGUGGUUGUAGGCGGUGUUGGUCUACGCCUCCCGGAACUGCUCCUCAUGCUUCUGCCUCACCAUGUCCAUGUAUUGGGCAUGGGCAUCGCCGAUGGUCAUGGUGCAAUGCACCGGCGAGGAUGGCGCAAAGGAGGGGGUUGGCGCCGGAUCGUUGACUACCAUGUUCUCCUUUGGGACGUCGUCGUCCUUCGGCUGCCUGCCGGCCAGGCAGUCGGCAGCAUUGGCUGCCAUCUCCUUGUGGUCCGUCGUCCGCCCGUCCUGAAGAGCGCUGGAGCGCGAGGAAGCCAUGGUGGGCAGUAGUGGUGUGGAUAGGAGAAAGGAAACGGAGGCGGAUGACUGCGGCUAUGGCCGGCGCAUCAGUUUAUAUAGCAAUGAUGGGCGACGGGGGGAUGGACAUGUGGUGCCGGAGUAGCCGCCUCGGUAACCGCGUAUCAUCAAUGUGGCGGCAAAUGGACGGACGUACGGCACUUCUGUCGUUUGAAGGCGGAGCAAUCACCUGCACCGGGAAGCGGGGCGGGCGGCACUGACCGUUUCGGGCAGAAAGCGCGCGCAGGCGAGGGAGGCGGUCUGGGUGGGCCAGGGCAGUCAGACUCGUGCUUGGCAGUGGGUCGGUCAAGCUGCCGGACAUGCUGGCUCACCAGCAAGCUCGCCGAGCUGAGCGACGACAAUCAGAUGAUGGAAGUAGCUUCCGACCAGGAGCCGACGCCACUGUCCAAGCCGGUUCAUGCCGUGUUCACCAUAGAGCAGGUGUGGCCGCACUUUGAUGCCCUAAUGGCGGAAGAGAUACCAACGCAGGAGGACCUAUGCUGCAACCUCCGUCUCAUCAACGAGCACCGGUGAACAAGCAAACGACAAUGCCAUCGCGAACAUGUGUCCUUAUGAUCCUGGCUUCCCGAAUGAGCAGCGGGCACUCUAUCACACCAUCCAUAGGGCCCGCGAGGCCCUCUCCGUCGUCCUUCGAGUUGUUGCGCUCGCCAUGGCGCCACCGUCUUGCGUUGUCAACAUGGUCAACAUACAUGAGGAAUGAGGAGAUGACUUUACUUGGAGAGGAUAACAGUGGGGACCCACCAGGGUCAUAGUCGCACGUACGCAAGUGCCUCCUUAUUAUAUACUACAACUGUAUUUUUUUUGCUUCCUCCUGGUUUCUUGACAUCACGGUCCCAAACCAUUGCCAACCUAUGUAGUCAAUAAAUGAGAGAAUUGCGCAAGGAGUGGCCGACAGUUGGGACCAAGCAGCUCGAGUAGUAUUUGUGUUUUUGAGGUGUGAGCACUGCAGAGUUUUUCUUGAGCAACGUUUUCGGUUUUUUUGAGACAAGAGCGAUGUUUUCAUUGUUGUUCAGAGGAGAGUAGGGUAUUAAUUGGGAGGGUUGUGGCCCGUCUAGCCCAGGCCAGAUAUCCAGCCCAGAUAUUAAUUUUUUUCAAGCUGAAAAUGGCUAGCCCAGCUAUACUUUCUUUGAGGAAUACCCAAGCAAGGUCAACUUGUUAUUCUCCGCCCCGCUGGGCUGCAAAUCUUUCCUAGGAGGGAUGCAUUAGGCUUAACAAGAAAAUGGGCUUUAAGAAAUAAUAAAUGAGAUGUAAUUAUAAAAAUUGGGCUGUAACUAUAAAAAAAUGCACCAAACACGUAAUUAGUUAAUAAAAUAUAUUUUUUGGAUUUUUAAAAUUUUAAUUUCAUUAAUUGUUGCGCACGCAAUGUUUCGUUGGAUUUUUACGUAAGACAGAUUUGUAUUGAAAUUGUAUUUAAUCUGACUAGAAAUUUAGGGAUAAAAAUAUUUCGGAUCCCAUCAAAAUGUGGGAAAUUUUAUUGAAUUCUGUUUUGAACGGUUGGUUGAAAUUAUUAAUCAUUGUCCAAGCUAGAAAAAUGGGUUGUACUUUUAACAAACUGUAAAUGGGUUGUAGUAAAUUCCAUUAGAAUUCAAAAAUGGGUUGUACAUUGUUACAAAUCUUAAAUGGGCUAUAAGUUCUCUACCACACACUUGUGGUCCUACUAAGUUGACGCGUCCCCUCAAAAAAAAAUUUGACGCGUAUGCAAGGCUUUAUCAACUUAUAGUCAACACACGGUUCUAGCAACAGUGGUCGUUGGAUGUCCAUCCAACAGAUGUCGUGCGUCUUCUUCAAUCUCGGAUAUUCUAGCUUCAUGCUCCCAAAAAAUGAUUCCACCCCCUGACAUCUGGGGCGCACCAUUUCGGAGGCUGGCCUAUGGGCCUACUAAAUUGGCGCGUACCAAGGGCUUUGUCAACUUAGUCAAUAUAAAUGAUUCUAGCUGCAGUGACUGUACGAUGUCCAUCCAACGGCCGUCGUGCUUCUUCAACCUUUGGUCUUCUUGCUCCAGCCGCCCAAAGCAGCGCCGGUCGUGCUGCCUGCUCCUGCCUACCGUGGCCGGCUGUGCUGCCGCGGAGGCCUCACAGCCCCCUACUACUCCCACCGUUGGCCAGGCCCUGCGGUGACGGUAGCCUCACACCGCAGCCGAACUAGUGAACUCUCGUACUCCUCUCCGCGUGCGCAUCCACUGCCGCGUCUUCCCCGGCUCCGCGCCGUUCCCUUCCUAGGCCUUACCGUCGUCCACCACCUUGGUGCUCUCGGCGCGGCAUGGUCAAUGUGGUCAACGAACGACUUCCAUCGGAAGAGUACUAUACGUUGAGAGGCUGACAGCUGGGCCCACAGCCGCAGCAAGGAAGUGCCUCCUUAUUACGCGCAAAAUAAUUAUUCCUCCACCUGACAACAGGGACCCACCGUACAGGCCAUCGUAUUUCACGGAAAAAGACGUUUCCCCCCUGACUGCUAGGACCCACCAGCUUCAUCUUCGCACGCAAGGAAGUGCGUCCAUAUUAUGGGAAAAAAAUGAUUUGCCCCCAUGACUGCUGGGACCCACCAGCUACAUCUUCGCACGCAAGGAAGUGCCUGACAGUCGGGACCCACCCGCUCGAAGCGUACGUAGUAUUGUCAUUCUGGUCGCGAACGUGUACGUACAUACUGGCCGAUCGGUCUGUUUGUAGGCUACAGCGAUGAACCAUGGCCGUGUAAGGAAGGUCACGUGUCGUAGUAUAGGCGUGCAUGUAGCAUGUACAUGUACGUACAACAGCCGGGGUGCAAGAAAGUAAAUACGACCACGUACGUACAUAUGGGCGGGGUCUCGAACGCCUACUCGCGCAUACGUAUGGCCAGGGCUCGUGUACAUGGCUGGGUUGGAACGGAGAAACUGCGUCGUCAUCGUGUUCAUGGGGAGGCAAUAGAAUGCGUCGUGUUCAUCGGGAGGCAACGGAAUGCGUGUUGUUCAUCGGGAGCUAACCGGCUUGGACGGAAUAGCCGAUGGAAACGAGGCCUGGCGUACCGCAGAACGGAGGAAAUGGCCUUGUGUUCGACCGACCACGGUUGAAACGGGAUCCUGUUCAUCGGGAGGGGUCUAACGUAUCGCAAAACGGAGGAAAUGGACCUCCUACAGUCAAAACAGGGUCAUGUUGAUCGGUAGGCGUGUGGCGUACCGCAAAAUGGAGGAAACAGACUUGCGUUGGAGCACUACUGUCGAAACAGGGGUCCUGUUCAUCGAGAGGGGUGUGGCGUACCGCAAAUCGGGACUCCACGGGAUACUGUUCAUCUCCACUGUCGACUGCCUCCACAGGCUACUGUUCAUCCACCGUAGACCUCCUCCAGCCUCCACCUGCGAUUGUUCAUCCACGAGCUCCUGUUCAUCCAGCCUCCACCGCUCCUCCACCGGCUACUGUUCAACCAGCCCUCUCCAUGGGGUCCUGUUCAACCACCCCUCCACGGGCUACUGCUCAUUCAGCCCUCCACCGACUACUGUUCAACUAGCCCUCCACCGGCAACUGUUCAACCAGCCCUCCACGGGGUCCUGUUCGUCCAGCCCUCCACGGGGUCCUAUUCAUCCACCGGCUCGAUUGAUCGGGGUCCUGUUCAUCCAGCGGCAAUGGCCUCUACUACCACGGGGUCCUGUUCAUCCAAACCCCCACCGGGAACUGUUCAUCCAACCCUCCCCCAAAACGCUCACUAUUCAUCAAGGGAAGGAGGCAGCAGUGUUCGAUCGGCUUCAGUUAGCAGCAGUAGCUAAGGAAUCGCUCGAUCGGGUUCAGUUAACAGCCAUCGAUCGAUCGCUCAGGUUCAGUAACGUGUAGCCUGCAGUGCAAUCGCUCUGGUUCAGUAGGUGAAUGCCUUGCUCGGUUCAGUUAGAUCCCAACGCCUCGCACCCACACGCCUACGUGUAUAGAGAAACACGCAUCGCUCGGCCCCCGACCACCCACCGUAACCGGGAACUCCCCGAUAUUUUCCUCGCCCUCGCUUCUACCACGGUUUUUUCCGUCAUGCACGGCCCAAAGAAUGUCAUGCAGCUGCGUCUCCGACCCGCCUAGGACGAAAAGCCCAUUUUCUGUCAUGAUUUUUUGUCAUAGAAGUAGGAGCCCACCACAUCUAUGAUGAUACCGGGUUUUGUCAUAGUUAUCGUCAUAGAAGUGUCAUAAGCAUGACAGAAAAAAAUUCGUUCGGCCCAGUCACGGAUGUGUCUUUUUUUGUAGUGAAUGUCUUUGCCUUCCGGGAGGGGAAUGUCAGGACCCAGACAAGAGAAGCUACUGAAGUAUCUCAAGAAACCUGAAGAUAGAAGAGGAUAACUGACAAACUCUGCAGCAACAUUUCGUCAGUUAUCCAACAAUGGAGAUGCGAGAGCAUUAAUGAAGAUGGAUGGUUCAGAUGCUGAGUAGCUGGAGUACGAGAACCAAUGUAAUAUAAAAAGUAUUGUGUUAAGUGUGCUUUCAUUUCACCCACUGUGAUUUGUGGCAGCUUAUAAGCGGAGACCUUGCUAAAGGGAAAGUAGGAAGGAAAGAACAUUUAUCGUAUUUUGUAGUUAGUCUAGCUUUCGUCCUCCUCUUGUAUCAGACCAAAUCAGGGUAUCUUUGAGUAAAUUCCGACCACAAAUUCGUGAGGAACUCCAUUUUUGUGUUCAAGUUAGUUCGAACCCCAUCCAGGUCCUCACAGGGAAAAGGUUCUAUUUUGUGGUUGAGCCGUUGCAAGAUUCUUCAAAACUUGUACAGAUUUCUGUUGCCAGAUCCAAGAAAUUGGUCAUUUUUCAGAGCAGAGAUGUGCGUGAGAUUCAUACAUUUGUGUCAUUGAAGCCAUAGUCUCUCCUUAACAUGUGAAUUUGUGAAAUGUUUAGAAAUAAGUUGGUUGUGGAUCUAGAAAUUAUUGAACUAUGGAUUUAGCCUUUAUAAUGUACUCUUUGUGGAAAUUUGUACUUCACCCUUGGUGAAAUUUCUUGUACUCCAUCACUUCGAGUUGUUACUAGAUUUGCUAUGCAAAUAUCCAGAAUAUUUUUUCCUUUGUGGUAUGUGCCGGAUAAGUAUACAUGAAAUCAAGAUAAGUAGAGCAGCAUGAUCAAGAAUAGAUAAGUGUCUUCUUAAGUUGUGAAGUUCUCAUAUCCCACACUCAAUGAAUAAGGGUAUGCUUUUUUUCCUUGUUGUAUCAAGAUCAGAGGCAUCUAGUAUGCUCUACUUUAUUAGUUUGUUAGCUCGGUAAUUCAGCUCAGAUCAUUGUCCGGUACUCAAUGUGCCAACAUUGUGGAUUACUUGAAUAAAUCACCAGUUCACUUUCUUCAGUUAAUUGGAUUUAGGCAUAGUGCUUGAAAAUAUUUAAAGUAAAGUUUACACGGGGUUAUGUGUUCUGUGUAAACACUAGGACUCAGUUUUGCUUCAUAUGUAUGCCUUUGGGUGGAUGAACACUUGGUUAAGCAACUGUCCUUUCUUGAUUCAUCCAAAGACAAGGGAGGGCAUUAAAACCAACAAUUGGUGUGAAACAGUUGUACAUGAUUGAUUAGAAUAUGGUCAUGUUUUAUAAGUGUAUGGUUAUGAGAAAUACAUGUGUUUUACAAUUUUCUGAUUAAUGUACGUAUUGUAAGAAUUUCUGGUUCACUAAUGUUGAUCUAUUGUUUUCCUUUUGUUCACUUUGCUCAACCAGCUGAAUUGCUUAGUUGACUGUUGGCUUUAUCAUAUUAAUGAAAAAUUUCUAAAUUGUUUCUUAAUGAGUGUUUUUACUUAUCUAAAUAGUUUGGGACCCCAAAAACAGAGUAGUUUGUACUUCAUUCACAUUCUUUUGAAGUAUACUAUCAGUCGAAUAUAUAUACAUUACAAUGAUCGGAAAUUUUGUACCCCAAAUUUGCGCUUAGUUCAUUGUUAGGUCCUGCCAAAAAUUUAAUGGAUAAUUUCGGUUGCAAGUUAGCACCUUCUAGGCAUUCAUGUCUUUUGACAUUUUAAAUCUUCAAUUGUUUACUAAGCUAAUCUUGGUAAUUAACUAUGAUGCACGGACUUCCAACGUGUUCCAACUUUUUCAAGUAUUAUCUGAUUGUCACUUGACUUGUCAUUCUAUCUUUUGUAACUGAUGGAUUUUUAAACAUGAAAGAUCAUAUACUUUGGUUAUUUCACUUCCCGCUGAUAAAUGGAUGGGGGUGUUUGUCACACACCAAGCCUCUUUGUCGAUCUAGCACAAAAAAAUAUUGGGAAAUUGCAGGAUUUUAUGUUAAGGAUAUACUCACAUAGAAGUUGUGAUAUACAUUGUGAAAGAAGAUAUUAACAAAAUUUGCAGAAGUGAGUUAUGUUUUUCAUUUUAAUUUAUGUAACACAUUUAUGUAUGAACCAAGUUUAAAUGUCCACUCUUUAAUGUGUUUGUCAUCAUUUUUAAAUAUUCUGUUAUGCUUGAUCUCUACCAUCAUUAUAACUGAAGAUCACAACAUUUGUUCCGUUGCAAUGCACGGGCAACUUGCUAGUUAAUCAUAGUGUACGAAAUACGAAGACCUCAUUAGAUGUAAAACAAUGGAUCCAUGCGUUAUAUGUUUAGCGGCUAACUCUUACUCAAUGUUUCAGGAGAACGCAUGCUGAAAUCUUCAUUAUCACUAGUGGGAUUGAUGUAGUGAUCCAGGAAGAAGUCGCUGAUAAAUCUCCAUACCAUCAGCAAUUCACCAGCUGGGAGCGGUUCACGGGUCCUCCUUUUGAAGAUGAGAUGCAAUAUUUUUAAGAUCAGAAUGUGCCAUAUGAGUGGAGUAGAAGAUAUUAAUUAAGAUAGACUUACUGGUACUAAUUCAUGAGGAUUGUCACAACUAUCAGCAGAUUUGUAGAUGGAGAUCAUGUGUCUGCAAACAUAGUAUCCACAAAGGUUGGUCCCUGCUUCUUGCUGAGGACACUCAAUUUUUUGUACAAAAUUAGUCAUGUAUUUGUCCUGUUAGGAACAACCUAACCGGUGUUAGAUGUAUUAUAUUUUCUUUGGACAAAAUAGAAAGAGGUUUAUUUAGAAGCUUGAACAUUUGACUAGCGUAAGGAAAGGUAUUUGCAGACUGUUGGAUAAAUUUUCCAAAAAUAAUGGAUUUCGGUGUCUUACCGGAGAAACGAUCUCGUGUUGUAGAGGUUGUUCCGUCUUGAACAGGUUCCCUGGUCCACAGUGCGAGCACACUGCAAAUGGUGAUGAAUUUUGACAACAUCAAUUAUUGAACUAGAUAUGAAUGCAAAUUAAUUUCAACAUCUUAGAAUUUAAUACCUAUCCAAGAAUUGUUGAACAUGCGUCAGAUCCUGAGUGUUUGUUGACUCUCUGAGAGAAUCGAUGUAGUAAACUGUGUUCUUAUUUGGAACAAUGAAUACCAAUAUCCGGUGAUUGCUACAUAUUAAGAAAGCCAUGAACUUACGAAUGAUGUCAAAAUCUGAAAGACAAUCAAUGUAUGCAUGGUUGUUUACUUGACUUACCGUUCAUGAUAUGGCCAGACAAAUGAUUUUGCAUGGGAUGUGUUUUCGAAGAUACGGACAACCAUGUUAACGGCCCAGUCCCAUCGGUCCUUACCAUCUAAUGUUGUGCCAUUUGCUAAUGCAGGAUCUAUGAAAUACACACUCUCCCUUUUUCUUCUCUGCGCGUUCAAUCCCCUGAGAGGAAUAAAAUGCAUUUAGUUGUUUAUCAUUGACAACCUUGUAUGGAGAAGUUGAUCAAAGUUUGUUAAGUACUUACAAAAUCAGGCAUCUAACAAGAGUGGCAUCGAGCACGUUGAAGUUGAAGAAGAGAUGUAAGUCCUCAAAACUCACAUUGAUGGAACCUGCAUCAUGUUGGAAAUGAUCUCUGUUGUAGUGGACUAGCAAAUCAUGAUGACGUUCUGACAUUUAUUCCAUCCAAUAUUCAUGUAACUCGCGGCAACUGGAGCUGCACUCAUCAAAGUAUUCGCCAACAAUAAAUGGCUGGCCAUGGACGUAAUUACGUGCUUCAAGUACAUCUGCUUUACUUUUAGAAAGCACCAAACGUACUUAUUCAUCAUCCAUGGCAUCACAAAUAAUAUUACUCCUCGAUUUGAACAAGUUGUUGUUAAUUUGGUUCUGGGCGAUGAGUGAUUUAAGUAAGAGGCAAUCGUUCUCUUUCCUCUUCACUCUCCGCUGCGCUUCCUCGUGGGCGUAGCCUUUUUGGCCACUUCCUUCUUGGUACUUGAAGCAUUUCUAGCAGAACGUCUGGUUGGCUGCAAGGUAGACUGCCGAGCAGACGGUGAAGCUUGGACGGACUGCUUAGCACACGGUUUAUCUAUGCCAGACCGCUGAGCUGGCGGUGCUGCUGUGACGGUCUGUUGGGCUGUAGGAGCAGAGGUAUUGCACUGCUGACCAUGCGUUGAAGCUAUGUCGGGUUUCUGCUCAGGUGGUGCCAACUUGUCGGUGUGCUGAGGAGGCCAUGCCAAUGCAUUGGUUUGCUUCAGGAAGGGUGGGCAAGGAGAGUGCAAUCGGUUGAGGGGCGAUAGUGGUUGCUUUUGGCGGGGCUUCAGAAAUCUAAUUGAUGAACUCUAUUUCCUUUCAUGGCCACUGGAUGUGAUGUAACGGUGUUUCUCCCAAGGUCCUUUGCUCAUUGAAGUCUCCUAGGACAUUCUUCAGGGCAAAUUAAUUGAAUCUAGGCUUUACUUCAGUCUCGUAGCACUUCACAUAGCCCAGUUUCAAUGGCACAUUGUCCAAGAAGAGGCCAUCUUCCAAGAAGGGUGGGCAAACCCAGGCUGUUGCACAUUUUAAUGUACCCUCAUAAUGUGUAAGCACGCCCUUCAGUCUGUCUUUCAUUCCAGAUAGAUCAGAUAUAGCAUCAUCACGAGUAGUUGCAGUCUCAGUGUCGCUGGGGUCAGCUGAUGCACAAGUACUCUUGUGCAGUGUUGUCGCGCAAUAAGCAGCAUCCUCCAUGCCCGCCUCGCCUCCCAUCUGCUGGCUAUCUGUCAAUGUUAGAUUCUUCUGCAUCAUCGUUGACUCAUCAACAUCCUUUCGAAAAGCCGGAUAAAUCUCCUUCUUCAACCUUUCAUACAAUGCAUUCUGCUUCAUUUCACUCCUCGCUUUUUUCAUGCUGAGCCUCUUUUAUUUGCUGAGUGUGAAAGCCCUCUUGUGCGGGACAUUAACACCUAUACCCCUUGCAUGGCGAGGGGCUCUUUUGUGUCUAGAGAAAUGGACAGAAUGUCACAUGGCCCUGAGUUCUUAUAGAACCUUCCAGGGAUCUUGGAAGCCUCUAACAUCACUUCAUAUAGUUUGGCGUCACGUGCGUUUUCAAAGUAAUAAGUUCCAUCAUCACGCCUCAUUGCACGUGCCCACAAGUAGUCUCUAGUGCGUACGCCCCUGAUUUCACUAAAGGCCGGAUUCCCACCCGCCACUACCGCUUCUUUGUCCUCCUGUUCCCAUAUCAGUUUCAUGCCGUAGUAUCCUGCCACACCCAUACGGUUGGGGUGUAUGUUCUUCUUCUGAAGUUCUGAUUGCUUGAAACUCUUCUCAGCAAACCGCUUCUUUUGAAUUCUGCCCAGUCUGCCUUUGUAAUUUGGAGGUAUGCGGGGAUUGGGUCCUUGCCUUCACUCAAGUACUUCUUGUACAUCACGUGCUUCUAGUUUCUCCAAGCAUCCCUAGCCUUCUUCGGUGCAGCGUAUUCCACCUGCAUUCUCCACUGCUCUGGAACGUUGAAGUGACCCAUGAUCUCCUGGACUAUCCUUCGCCGUGUUUCUGUGUCAGCCUUCCGAAACCCCGGCAGAAUAAUGUUGAGCCUUGCCCUGCCAACAAAUCCACACACACUCUUGAACCUCAUGCGUGCUUUAUCUGGUUUAGUUGGAGCCCAGGACUUUAAAGCAAUCUCGGUGACUUCAUAUACACCUUUAGGGUGGUGUGUGGACUUCCUUGGAGCGUUCCUCCGUGUCCUGACUGGAAGGGUAAUUUUUGCAGCUCUAUCCCAUUCAAGAUUACUUGAUCCCUCACAAUCUGCCGAAGACCUAGGGUUGUCCGAAUCAGAUGAAGAUACAUGGUCUGAAUGAGUGUUAUCGCUGCUACUCGGCAUCUACAGAGAACACAUGUGAAACACAGGAAAGGAGGAUAAGCAUAAAACUAACAACUUGGUAUCAAGCUUUCUAAACAUGCCAUGCAAUAAUUUAGAAAAUGUACGGCUAAUUUGUUAAGUUUGUGUGACUCGAACGCCCGCAAUCUGUAAAUAGGCAGUAACUUAUUGGAACAAAUACAACUUAUAUGUAAUAAGGAAGGUAUAUAAUGAACAUAUAUACGCUCUCCGUUAUUUUAUAGCCAAUUUGGGAACAUACAUAACGAAAUUGGAAGAGGGAUUGCAAGGAAAUAUGCCUCACUGUGAUGGAGAGUAGUAACUAACAGGCUUCUUAAUGCAAACCCAGCCGGACCACAGGAGAGGCGAGGGUUACUGCAUCGAUAUGCUCGAGGGUGGCUGGCGAGCAAAUGAAGAUGGCGAGGCGUGGGCCACCGCAUGUUGGAAACGGCAGUGGAGGUAGGCUUGACGCCGAAGAGCAGUCACACGGCCGGGGUGAGCAUGGUGGUGCCGGAGAGGGUUGUGCUGUGGAUCUGGGGGAGGGGGAGCUGGCGAAGGAGAUUGGGUGGACUAGUUGAGUGAAACGCGGGAGGACGGUGGGGGGUGUUGGGGACUCCACGUGUUGGCGGCCUAGGUGAAAAGGCUGAAAAAUAUUCCUGGUCGCCGCGCGCAUGGAAAGGCCUAUGCAAAUGGUUGCCUAUAAGCGCUCAUGUGCAAAAACCAAAUAAUUUCGUUUGAAAUGAAGACGUACUAAUUUCGUUUCGCCUCUAAAUUUUUCCCAUGUAAACCAAUCACAAUUUUACCACGGGUUUGAUUUGCUGGCGCAUUUUAGGUCUCGUGUGCUAUAUGUAAGACAUUUUUUGGCAUUUACCGUGCAUGUUGGCAUAUAAAUCAAUUCCUAGCCGGACUGCAUUUCCUGUCGAAAGGGAUGAGAAUUGACGUUUGAUCUGGGAGCAUCCAAUGAUGCAGACGUACGAUCUGUGGGGUUUGGGUUCUUGCCAAUCAGAACGCAUGACUCAGAUCNNNNNNNNNNNNNNNNNNNNNNNNNNNNNNNNNNNNNNNNNNNNNNNNNNNNNNNNNNNNNNNNNNNNNNNNNNNNNNNNNNNNNNNNNNNNNNNNNNNNNNNNNNNNNNNNNNNNNNNNNNNNNNNNNNNNNNNNNNNNNNNNNNNNNNNNNNNNNNNNNNNNNNNNNNNNNNNNNNNNNNNNNNNNNNNNNNNNNNNNNNNNNNNNNNNNNNNNNNNNNNNNNNNNNNNNNNNNNNNNNNNNNNNNNNNNNNNNNNNNNNNNNNNNNNNNNNNNNNNNNNNNNNNNNNNNNNNNNNNNNNNNNNNNNNNNNNNNNNNNNNNNNNNNNNNNNNNNNNNNCACGACUUUCGUGUGUGAACCGUGUGCUAUUUGAAAACAUUUUUUGGGAGGGGCUAUUUGAAAACAUGUACUUAUGUUCUUGAAAGGGAUGAGGAUCGACAUUCGAUCAAGGAGAAUCCAACGGUGCAGACGUACGAUCCGUGGGGUUUGUGUUCUGGCCAAUCAGAACGUACGACUCAGUUCGCGCGCGUGGCAGAGGGGUGGGGGUGCAUCGGCCACAGUUUAGUGGACACACGGCUUUCGUGAGUGAACCGUGUGCUCUUUGAAAACAUUUACAUUACCUAACAUCAUAUUUUUGUUUGAAUGAAAACAUCAGUUCAUCGUUUCGCCUCCAAUUUUUUUCCACGGUAAGAAAUCACGAGUAUAGUGGAGAGUGUCAUAUACUAGUAUCAUGAAUGCACAAUAUAUAUGAUACUAGUGUAUGAUACUACCUUCAAUUAAUUAUAGCGCAUAUAUAGUAUAAUACAUAGAGUAUAGUAUCAUAUCCAGAUCAUAUUUAUUGCCAUGCAUGACACAAAUUAGCAUCGCAUUAACAUGAUAUGGUAUCUACCUAUAUGUUACUCUAACCCUCUUCAUAUAUAUAUUUAAUUCUUUGCCACAUCAGCAUACUUGCUAUUUCCGAGUGCAUGACAUCGUCGGCUAUGAUACCACUAUGGCUAGCCUUAUAUAGUGGGGAGUAUCAUAUACUAUAUAUAUAGUAUCAUGCAUAUGAUACUAGUGUAUGAUACUACGUACGUACCUUCAUAGUGCAUAUAUCAUAGAUGACCGUAUUUAUGGCCAUGCAUGACACAAAGUAGUAUAGCAUUUUUUAUUAUAUAUAUAUAUAUAUAUAUAUAUAUGUUACGGUAUCUAUCUAUGUUACCACUUCUGUGCAAGAUCAUCAUAUUUUCUAUUCCCGAGUGCAUGAUACCAGCUAUGAUACCCCCACUAUGGCCACCCUAAUAAGGCUGGCCAUAAUAUGGGAGUAUCAAGCGGUAUGAUGCAUGCCAACUAGACUUUUUGGAUGAUCUAGCACACAGUUAAAUGAGGAAAGAGAGGCGUGGUGUCAUAUCAUGAUACCGUAUCAUAUUAAAUGUUGUACUACUUUGUGUCAUGCAUGGCAAUUAAUAAGGCAACCUAAGAUACUAACUUAUGAUACUAUGGAUGCGCGCAUUACGGAGGUAUUGCCGAUCAUAUACUAGUAUCAUGCAUAUAUAUACUCCCUCCUUUCCGGUUUAUAGGCUUAUCUCAAAAUUUUAGUUUUUCCAUUUUAUAAGGCUCAAUUUGGUUGUUCCCCAUCACAUGUCCAGAUUCCAAGGUGCAUUAAAUCAUUGCAUGCAAGUAUUAAGAGAAAGUUGACCAAUGCAUGUACUUUAUGCAUGCAUGUAUUGCAAUUAAUACAUUGGAAAAUAUAAUUUUUGAGGAAAACAAAAGCAUUAAUUGGGUGUUUUUGCAAACUACAAAAAGUAUUCCACCACUCAUCAUCUACCUUGGAUGGUGAGAUUUUUGAAUUGAGCCCUAUAAGGCUAGUUGUAAUGGGGAGUAUCAUAUACUAGUAUCAUGCAUAUGAUAGUGUAUGAUACUACUUUCGUAAUGCAUAGUAUCAUAAGUUAGUAUCUUAGGUUGCCUUAUUAAUUGUCAUGCAUCACACAAAGUAGUAGUGCAACAUUUAAUAUGACACGGUAUCAUGAUAUGAUACCACAUCCUCUCUUUCCUCAUUUAAUUGUGUGCCACAUCAUCCAGAAAGUCUAGUUGGCAUGCAUGAUACCGCUUAUGAUACUACCAUUACAACCAGCCUAAACCGGAAAGGAGGGAGUAUGAGGCUAGCCACAAUGGAGAGUAACAUACACUAGUAACAUACACAUAUCCCUAGACUAUGUUACUACCUUCAUAGUGGGUAGUACCAUAAGUGUAGUGUUAUGCAAAGCUUAAUUUAUUAGGUUAUAGACUAAUAUUGCAUUGGGACAUGUGAUGUUACAAUAACUAGCUAAGUUACUGAAACUAUCUCUCUCCUCAUUAACUUAUUGACACAUAAGCAAGUUUGCUGAGUUGGAGUCGAUGUUACUACUGAAGUUACUCCCACUGUGGCUAGUGUGAUACUAGCUAGUCAUCUAUGAUAUACUAGCUACCUCACUAAGAGCAUGGUUAAUAAUACAGCCAAGGGUUGGCUAUAAGAAGUUGCCAUGUCAUAUACAUCCAACCUCUUAGCGGGCAUGUACAAUAAUAAGUUUUAAAUACGUACUAGUUUAUCAAUAGUUGGCCCACCUUACAUCCUCACAAGGUGUCUUGGGUCUCGUGUUGCAGCUGGAUCUACUAACCAAGAGCCCACUUCUCUUCUCUUUCCUCCAAAUAAUAAGCACACACACAUAUAUAUAUAUAUAUUAUUCUAUUCCUUAUAGCCUGCUUAUACUACCCACAAUGAGAGUAACAUAGGUAGUAACAUCACACGUAUCUAGAUAAAAUAGAUGAUGUGACAAGCAAUAAAUGAAGAAAUAGAGGAAAGUGGUAACAUAUAUAGCUAGUUACUAGUAGUAUGAUUAACAUCACACAUCUCAAGGCAAGAUGAGUCUAUAGCCUAAUAAAUGAAGUGUUGCAUGUUACUACACAUAUAUGUUACUCCCCACUAUAGAGGUAGUAACAUAGACUAGUAACAUUCUAUGUUACUACCCAUUGUGGCUAGUCUUAUGUCACCCUAUUGUGUACUUGCUCUAAUGCAUAAUAUCAUAGAGUAGCUAGUAUCAUAUGUAGUACUUUAUUUAUAUUGUCAUGCAUGACACAUAGUAGCAUAGCAUUUAUUAUGAUACGGUUUCAUGAUAUGAUACUUAACCCUCUCUUUCUUCAUUUAAUUAAUUCUAUGACAGGGCAUCAAAAUUGCCUAGUUGGCAUGCAUGAUACUAGCUAUGAUACCCCCUUACUAUCAGCCUAGCUAGCAAAGAAGGUGUACAGAUCAUUUGUGCGUCGCUUUGUGAGUUUUCAUCCGUUUGUUCAAGAAGCGGGGAGAAGUUUCAAACAUUUUGGCCGUGAAGUGCGGCCACUACCGUAGGCCUAGUUGGUAUUUUAAUUACAAGAAAUUCAGAUGGAGUUCGGACAUCAUCAAAAUCGAUGUGUGCCUGUGGCGUGCUCUCACGACCCCAUGGAAAAAAUUUAGUAAAGUUUGGCACAAAUUUUUAUGACCUCUCCUUUCAAACUGGAGCAUCUCACAUGAAGGAUCAUGGUUUUCCAAAAGGAGAUGUGUCAAUUCAAACUCCUGUGGCCGAUGACUUCAUUGUUUGGCCUCAUAAAAAAUUUCACGGUACGCAAUCACCAUUAUACCACAGUUUUGAUUUUCUGGUGCAUUUCAGAUAUCGUUAGCUAUAUUUAAGACAUAUUUUGAGAUUAACAUGCAUUUUGUGCAUAAAAAUAAAAUUACAACCGAAACUACAUGUGCUGUCGAAAGGGAUGAGGAUCGCCGUUCAAUCUGGGAGCAUCCAACGGUGCAGACGUAUGAUCCGUGGGGUUUGGAUUCUAGCCAAUCAGAAGAUACGACUCAGAUCAUGGGCGGGGUGGCGGGGUUUGGUCGGCACACGACUUUCAUCAACGAACCAUGUGCUAUUCGCAAACCAGGUUGCACAUUUUUGUUCACACAUACUAUAGUGAGAUCAAUUGAGUGUGCUACCUCUAUGAUAUAAUAAUAAUAACAAUAAAUAGUUCAUAUUCAUUGCCUGAGCUGACAUCAUAUCAAGGUCAACAUAUUAACGGUUCUUACAUCAACAGAAAACCGGGCAUAACUCACAAAUUCAGUACACACGACAGUUCUAAAUUGAAUGAAUUAAGUUGCAGGGUAGGCAUAAAGACUAGUCUUACGGCUUAAUUACCAUGUACAUGGGGGAACAGGGAUCAUUAAGUUGACCCCGAUGAUUUUACGCUGCUCUAUUGCACGGGUGCAUGAUCCCUUGGUUGGCAACUCAUCAAUUAACCGUACUCGUCCUUGUCGGCAACAUCGUCGACACCUAGUACCCUUCUCUUCCCAUGCAUCGCUAAAUGGAUAUUCUUAUGCAAGGGGUCUUCCACAAAGAAAAUCUGGGUAGCAUCACUGGCAAGAAUGAAUGGGUCCGAGUGAUAUGCCAUCGUUGUCCUGUUAACACAGAUCUUCCUGUACUCAUCAAUCCUUACCUGACCAGGAUCCAUGUGCACCUAAAUAAUGCCACCUUAACUUUCACAUAGUGAAGAUCCCAAAUCUCUUUGAUGGUUCCAUAGUGUACCCUUUUAUCAGCUUCAUUUACAGUCAUGCAUUCUAUUCGAACAGAGUUGUUCUGAUACGAGGUAUUCUGAUCAUGUUCCUCAGUGUAGAACAUGUAUCCAUUUAUGUCAUAUGCUUGGUACGUCAAUGUCACAUCCCUGGUCCUGUUAUGCACUAGGCUAGACCUCAUGUGAGCAUCAUGUUUUAAUUCAAAUGAAAUUUGAAUUGAGGGAUUUUCAAAGCCUCAGAAACCUUCUAAAAAUGAUCAACAUUAAAAUCUUCUCAAAGAAGCCCAAGAAAAUGUUCCUCUUAGUCUCUGAAAAUAUUGCAAAGAGGUAAAACUCAAAACAAUAUUUUUGGUAUCUCAGAGUUAAUUAUUUUGGGCCUUUGAAUUAAAUAAAUAACUAUUUGCAUUGGAUAUAUAUUUCUUAACUAAUUAAUAUAUGUCCAAUAAUUCUGAUCUUUGAUGAAGGGCUUUGAAAUAAUCCUACUAGUCCCUACCAUAAUUAUCAGAAGCAAUAAAAAUGAUUUAGUGUCUAAAUUAAAUCAAAACAAACUACAGAAAAUAGAAAACAGAAUUAAAACAGAAAUAAAAGAGAGGAGAGAAAACUUACCUGGCGCUCACCUCUCAGCCCACCUGGCCCAGCUCCUCCAGCGGCCCAGCCCACCGCCGCUUCUCCCCCUGUCGUCUUCCUCCCCCUCGCCCCGAAGCUGCUCGGUGGCGCGCGCGGCCACGCGCCCCGGCCACCUCCUCCCUCCCAGCCUGCCUGGCUCCUCCUCGACGCCCCGGUGAUGCCACGCGCCACCCCGACCCCCCUCUCACUUCUCCCUCGCUCUCUGGACCUCCUUCCCCCUCGCUCCUCUGCUUCCCCCCCAUGACCGAGAGCCGCCGCCGACGUCGCUCGCAACCACCGUGGCCACUGGCCACCCCUCGCCCUGUCGAUAAGCCCAGAAGAACCACCGUCGUCUCCUGCAUCGUCUACGCCAGCCCGUUCGACUGCGGGAGCCCUGCAUCGCCGCCCACGCCGUCUCCCUCAUCUUCGGCCGCCCGAGAUCGCCGGCGCCCGCUCUCCACCUCCGAUGUCUCCCCCGAGCCGCUGGGCCUCCAAUCGACCCCCUGUAAGCCCCGCCAUCGUUCACCCCUACCCCCGUUCCCUUUUGCUCGCUCUGGCCGCCAAUUCCAUCAAGGCCGAAAACCACCGCCGUGCGAGCUCGACUCUGGCGAAACCCCGGUGACCAUUUGGUCACGGGCGUGCACCCGUUGUGCUUGCCGCGACCCGUAGAGCCCCUCCAUCGCCUCAGCUCCCUCGCUUGUGAGCAGCAGCGCCGAACCCGACCGCACCCGAACUCCGGCCGCCGCCGAUUUGGUCGCCGCCGUCGAUCCCGACCACCGCAGCUGCUGCCGCCACCACCGCUGGAUGCGCGAGUCUUCCAGCUCGCUGUAGCCGCAAACCCUGAGAAAAACGGUGCCCUGUAGCGCCGUCCCAAGCAACUCCGGCGAGGUCUCGCCGUCGCCGUGGUCGCCGGCGUCACUAGCUGACGUGGCUCCGUCAUUAGGAGCUAAUCCAACUAACUAAACCACCUACAGCCACUGACAGCAGUCCCUACCCCUGGUCAAACCCCAGUCAGCGCUGGGUUUGACCGGGAUUAGUUCCUGUGUCACUGACGUGUGGACCCCGCACGUCAGGUUUGACCUGGACCUGGCCAUUGACUCGCUGACGUCAUGCUGGCAUCAGGCUGACGCAGUUAAAUCAUUUACUGGAUUUAUUUUAAUUCAGGAAAUUUUAGAAAAAUGUAUAAACUUCUAAAAAUCAUAGAAAUUCAACCGUAACUCCAAAUUAAAUAAAUUUUUUAUGAAAAAUUAUCAGAAAAAUUCAAGGAAUCCAUCUGUACCAUUUUCAUGCAUGUUAGAACAACUUAUAGCUGCUUUUUAGCACAGAUCAAUUAAAUGGCAUUUGAAUAAUUACAUAUGGAGUUUAAAUUUGAAUCUUGUAUUCAAACCAACUUCAUUUAAUCUGUUGCUAGUUGCAUUAGCUCAAAACACAUUCAUAUUGCCAUGUCAUGAGCAUGCAUCAUAUUGUGCAUUGAAUUGAUUGUAUUUCUUCUUUGUUGCCGGUAUUUGUUUCCUCCCGGUAGACGAUGUUCCAACGUUGUGAUCAUUGACACUGAUGAAGACUCAAUGUUAUCUUCAGAAGUGUCAGGCAAGCAAAACCCCCUUGUUCAUUCCGAUACAAUCCUACUCUCUCGCUCCUGCUCUCUUUUACUACAUUAGGACAACAUCGAUUCAUCUGUUACUUGCUACGGUAGUUGAACCCCUUUAUCCUUUGCAUGACCUGUCAUUGCCACAGUAAAUAGAUGAAACCCACUAGCAUGAGUAGGAGUUGUUUGAGCCCUGUUGUGCCUACUCAUUCAUGUUUGUUUGUCAUGCCUACUACUGCUUAGAGUUGAGUCGGGUCUGAUUCAUCGGGGAUGAAUCAAUGGCGUGUGAACCUGUCCUACUGUGUGUGAGCUAAGUGUGUGAACACGAUUUGGUAAAGGUAGCGGUGAGAGGCCAUGUAGGAGUACAUGGUGGGUUGUGUCAUUGAAGCCGUCCUUAGGAACUGAGUUCUGUGUUUGUGAUCCAUGAUUCAGCUACUACCAUACAUUGGGCCCUGAAAUAUGACCCCGCUCGACUUCUUAUUCACCCAAGUCCUCUGUCCAGGAGUUGCAAGUAGUUUCUGGUGUUUGUAGCUUACUGGAGGCCGUGGAGAGCGCUGACCGUAGGGGUGGGCUGUGAUGCGGUAGGUACGUGGCACGGUGUACCGGAUGCCCGUUUGGUAUCUCGGGAACCCUGUUCACAUCGUUUGGGGCUGUGAGCGAAACUCCGGCCAGAUCUCCUCAUGGAUGGAACCCGAAUAGGCGAUAAACCUGGACUAGAGACUUGAGUGUUUAGGUAGGUCGUGGUCUACACCCACGUCGGCUUUCGCUUGAAGUCUGCCGAGCACAUGUCGUGUGCAGACGCUAAGUGGUGGAAACAUGUAUGAAGAAGUACACCCCUACAGGGUUAACAUCAUCUAUUCGAAUAGCCGUGUCCGCGGAAAAGGACUUCUGGGUUGCUUAUAUCAGUUCAUAGACAAGUGAAAGUGGAUACUCUAAAAUACGCAAGAUAAGCGUGAGUGCUAUGGAUGGCGUUCUCGUAGGGAGACGGGAGCGGAUCCAUAGUGGCGUAUUGAUAUGGUGAAUAUGUGGACUCGUGUGCGCCACCUCAAAAGAGUUGCUUGCAGUCGUAGUUUAGGAUAGCCACCGAGUCAAAGCUGGCUUGCUGCAGUUAAACCCCACCAUCCCCUUUGUUGAUAAUGAUGCAUAUGUAGUUAGUUCUGAUGUAAGUCUUGCUGGGUACAUUUGUACUCACGUUUGCCUAUUUUAUGUUUUUGCAGAGAGACUUCGGUCUCACUAGUAGUUUCGCGUGGACUUCAACGUUUAGCUUGUUACCUCAGCUACGAUCUUGUGCCCUCGGCAGGAUCUGGUAGAUAGUCAGGCUUCUCAGCCUUUUUCAUUUAUAGUUGUCUGUACUCAGACAUGUUAAGCUUCCGAUUGUGCUUUGAUUUGUAUGCUCUGAUUGUUGGGUCAUGAGACCCAUGUUUGUAAUAUCUCGCUCCUCGGAGCCUAUUGAAUAAAUACUUGUGUCGUAGAGUCAUGUUGUGAUGCCUUGUUGUAUUUGCACAUAUCGAGCAUAUUGUGUGUAUGAUUGAAAUGCUUGGUAUGUGUGGGAUCUGACUAUCUAGUUGUUUAUCCUUAGUAGCCUCUCUUACCGGGAAAUGUCUCCUAGUGUUUCCACCGAGCCAGGGUAGCUUGCUACUUCUCCGGAACACUUAGGCUGGCCGGCAUGUGUCCUUCUUCGUUCCUGUGUCUGUCCCUUCGGGGAAAUGUCACGCGAUGGAUACCGGAGUCCUGCUAGCCCAGUGCUACAGCCUGGAUUCACUCGCUGAUGACCGACACGUUCAAUGCUGGGUCAUGGAUGCCUGUCCCUGUAAGUUUGUGCCACUUUGGGUUUACGACUAGCCAUGUCAGCCCGGGCUCCUUAUCAUAUGGAUGCUAGCAACACUGUCAUAUACGUGUGCCAAAAGGCGCAAACGGUCCCGGGCAAAGGUAAGGCGACACCCGUGGGAAUACCGUGCGUGAGGCCGCAAAGUGAUAUGAGGUGUUACAUGCUAGAUCGAUGUGACAUUGAGUCGGGGUCCUGACAGCGUUGGUAUCAGAGCUUGACUGCCUGUAGGAUUACCAAGCCAAACUGGUCGAAGUUGAGUCUAGAAAUUCUUUAGUUAUAUAAGGGAAUUGAUUGUGGGAUGGAACGUAAGGCUCUUUUUACUCCUUAUACCUCAUGCCCUUCUGAUCUGAGUCAUCUUAUUUUUCCUACAGGGAUUAAGAACUAGGCUAUCUCUUCUUUCUAUCAGGAUCACGUGUUACUAAUCCGUAGACUUAUAGAUUGUUGGACUUAAGCCUCGUUUCAGUUCUCAUUACUUCCGUAUGUUAAUUGUGAUCUCGAAACCUUGAUAUUGUGCUUCUGAGUGGUUAUGCCACCAUUUUGUGAAUGUCUCAAAUCUUUUCUGAGCAUUUACAGCCGUUAUGCUGUCCGAGUCAUCCCAGGUCUCUAAACAGUCUGAUGCAUUUGCAAAUUCCUUCCUCCCGUUUUGAUGUUCCUUUGGGCCAGAUUAACCACACAAAUCAGUGAGUUGAGGUAUUCUAUUGCCUUGACAUUUAUGUUGGAAUUAUUAUUAUGACCCUAGGUGUCUCAGGGGAUCAUGUAGUGGUCUAGCCAUGAUUUGUGUCCUAGUGUGAUGAUUCUGGCCUUUAUUCUCGAAAGCAUUCCGUGAUGCUAGCUAGGAGUAGGUAUUCACUUCUGGGUUUUCGAACCGAGAUUCACCUUACUUACUUCAUGUUGAUAGUAAUUGCUAGCUCCCUUAGGUUAUUAGUAACCUUUGCAAUAGUCCUUGAAGUCCGUGGUAUCUUCUUCUUCCAAAUACCAUGAACUACUUAUGGCAGAAGUUCCUCGUUGAACUGAACAAUCACAACCAGAGUGCUCUUGAUGAGUUCUCCAUUAUAUAUUGUGGCUCUGCCAGUUCUACCUUUCUGCAUGGGUUAUCCGGAAGAAAUAUGUUGAACUUCGUUCGACAUGCUAAACCAUGCAUCCACAACUCAGAAAAUCGUAUGUUCCUUUGAGUUGUCCCUCUUUAGUUGUCUUCUGACCCUCGUCUAUCAAUUGAUAGUCAAGAGUAUGCGUGCGUUCAUUCAUCGAUGCCUAUCACUCUUGUGGUCCGUCAAGCCAUUCUAUUCCGGAAUGACUAGGAGAAACAAACUUCAGUACCCUAUCCAUUUCUAGGAUUUGGUCAAAGCAGUUGUAUUCCACAGAUCAAAAUGCCAAUCCAACUUUUGUUCUGUUCCACCUCGGAGUAUCACCCUCUUUCAUCACAAGAGUAUCGUGAGAAUUGCACACCCUCUUAUGAAUUCUUGACACAGUGAUACUUCCCUCCAUCAUUAUUCAUUUUUCGGUUCCUGUGUUAUUGUAACCGGAAUGCCGACAAGUGAAUCGUGGUGUGUGAAAUCAAUACUGCUAGCAACUCCAUUGCUUGGUAGUUAAAUGGACGAUAAUCUCAUUCUUAGCGUGUUGAUUAUUGAAUCAUCAUUCUAAGAUUGAUCGUGCUACCUUGUCCAUCUUCCUGGUGCACAUUUCGAUUGAUGAGUUAGGAUUUUGUCAAGUCCUCGCUCAUUUGAUCAUAUCGUCUUGCCCUGAAAAGCAAGAUUGUUCUCGAGCUUAGUAACAUAUCGGUGGUUCGUGACUUUCCAAAUAUCUUCUUGGAAGUGUUACCGGGUUGUUUCCUGACUGUUAUGUUGAACUCGUGAUCAAGUUGGGUUCUUGUGAACCACCCUUUCUCCAAGAAUCUGUGUUGGAUAUCCCUGAGCUAGUUUGUUAAGCCAAGCAACAACUUGGAGAGUUGGAAGAUAAAAGCUUACCUGACUUAGUUCAUUUCAAAGGGAUACCCUUUGUAUGUGUGUGUUGAAGAAAAUUGAUAUUUCAUCGACUGACCCUCGUGAUCAGUUAAUGGACCUAUCAUCUUGUCCAACCUUUGAUUUGGGUGUGGGCUAUCCUCAAAUCAAGUCAGAACCAACGAUGUUCGUAAUGUUGUCUUACUCGUGGGUUUUCCUCGAGCAUACACCAUUAUAUUCUUUGGUCUGACCAACGCUAUCACCGUGUUCACUUAACUAUGUAAUUCCUUUUAAAAGGAAACCCGGAUGAAUUGUUGUUGAGCCCAUUGACAACAUCCUUAUCUCCUCCAUAAUUUUGCUGAACAUUAAGCUAGUGUUGGAAACUUUUGAAAGCAUUUCUUCAUGCUAGUUCAUGAAGCAUAUGUUCGGAUGUAAGAAGUGACUUCCUCCAGUUCAUGUGCAUUUAAUGCAAGUUGCCGCCGUGGAUUCGAGAAAGUCAAUGUUGAUUCCUUUGGAAUCAUCCCAAAUCAGUCAUGCAUACGUGCGAAGUAUUCUGUGGUUCGGAGACUUGCAACCUCCAUUCUAUAUGUGUCCCUAGCACACCAAGCCACUGAUUGAUUUGUUCAAGGUUAAUAAGUUCUAAGUGCUAGUCCCAAAGGUACCAGACGGAUUUGUACAAAACUUCAAUAUCCUCGCUGAUGGUUCCCCCUCCUGAACUCGGUAGUGUUUUAUUAUAAGACUACUUUGUGGUCAUGCUUGUCUGGGACAACGUGUUCACAUGUUUGUAGCAGAGCCAGCUCAUGUUUUGGAGCUUGCUAUCGUAGUUCAUUUCCCGAGAAUCUCGCAACAUCAUCUCGUCGAUUUGUGUUGUAAACUUCCAUUUUUCUUUCUAGACUUGAUGAGUCUGGAAUAUUCUGACACCAACCAGAUCUGAAUCUCAGGCAGAUGUGAUGGUUGGAACAUUUCCCAAGAACUAUAAUAUUGGUCUCGCGAUAACCGGUAAAGUGGAUGUCGUGGCCAACACACCCAGCCGGAAGACCUCCUGUUGUAGUAUCUUGAUUUGAGGAAGUUGGCCACCUCCCCAUAGGGAUUUCGUAGGAUUUACUCCCUAGUUGCCCCUAUGGAUUUCUGUGUUCCGAAGUCCGACCUUUUACUUGAUGUUCUAGAUAUCAAACCAUAUCUAUGGGUGGAUUACGCUAGCACAUCAAGGAGAACAUUAGAAGCGGAGUGCUAAAUGUCUCUCGGUCGAUCAUCCAGAUUUUAUUUCCUUGGCCCCGCCAAGGGUGAAAUCUGAGGAAGUGUUAUCUUCCUUUGCAUCUGCAUCAUCCAUCAUCAUUCAUCAUGGUAGCAAGUUGUGUUGCCAGGAUCCUUGACACGGAUAUUGGUAAAAUCUUGAUGAUUAUGGAAAUGCUCAAGUUCUUGAGAGCACGCGCAAGUGCUAGGUUUGAUCGUCGGCAUUAACUGUAUAGUGCUCUCAGUUUCCUCGGCAAUGCUAUGACCUUUCCAAACAGUGAAUUCACUCUCUAUUGUUGGGUUCUUCCCCAGUUACCAGAAUCAUUCCCAGCAUUUGCAUUUUGUUCCCAGCUUGCACCGCCAAUGUGCCAUUCUACCAUGGGUCCCUUCCAUUUCCGGUGGUAAGCAAAAUCAUCCAUUAUGUUGUCUUCAACAAGGUAAUCCACAACAUCCAAGUCCGAGUACGCCAUUCUACCGACCCCCUCCAAACGAUCGGUCGAGAAUUGCCUUAGGUUGGUUUAAAGAGUUUCAAUGAUCUUUGAAUCAAAGGUAAUUCUUUUUGCCACUUAAGGGGAUAUAUCUACAAGUCACCUUCCCUAAGGUGCCCCGUUAUGGUAUCAUGGCAACUUAACACCUCGCAACGUUGACAACUGUUUACCACCUUCUUAGGUGUGGAAUUGUUGUCUACCUGGUAAACCUCCGUCAUUUGUUCCACUCCUUUCCGCUAGAGGUGUGCUUCAUCUCUCAGCUCGAGAGAUGUUGCUAUGUCUCAUUCCGAGAGUUAAUCCUGAGUUGUUCGACCUUCGAGAAGAACGAUUCUUUUAGGGUCUUUCCUUUCCUCUCGUUGUCAUGUUAGUUGGAGUUCUCAGAGGAAGACGUCGAGACAAAGAUGGUGAUCGAAACAACGUUCCUAUGAAGUGCAACCUGGAUCGUGAAGAUUGUGCUAGUUUGCAUUCCCCCUUCACCUUACCCUAAGCUUGAAUCUCGGGACGAGAUUUUUGUUUAGUGGGGGUGAGUUGUCACAUCCCUGGUCCUGUUAUGCACUAGGCUAGACCUCAUGUGAGCAUCAUGUUUUAACUCAAAUGAAAUUUGAAUUGAGGGAUUUUCAAAGCCUCAGAAACCUUCUAAAAAUGAUCAACAUUAAAAUCUUCUCAAAGAAGCCCAAGAAAAUGUUCCUCUUAGUCUCUGAAAAUAUUGCAAAGAGGUAAAACUCAAAACAAUAUUUUUGGUAUCUCAGAGUUAAUUAUUUUGGGCCUUUGAAUUAAAUAAAUAACUAUUUGCAUUGGAUAUAUAUUUCUUAACUAAUUAAUAUAUGUCCAAUAAUUCUGAUCUUUGAUGAAGGGCUUUGGAAUAAUCCUACUAGUCCCUACCAUAAUUAUCAGAAGCAAUAAAAAUGAUUUAGUGUCUAAAUUAAAUCAAAACAAACUACAGAAAAUAGAAAACAGAAUUAAAACAGAAAUAAAAGAGAGGAGAGAAAACUUACCUGGCGCUCACCUCUCAGCCCACCUGGCCCAGCUCCUCCAGCGGCCCAGCCCACCGCCGCUUCUCCCCCUGUCGUCUUCCUCCCCCUCGCCCCGAAGCUGCUCGGUGGCGCGCGCGGCCACGCGCCCCGGCCACCUCCUCCCUCCCAGCCUGCNNNNNNNNNNNNNNNNNNNNNNNNNNNNNNNNNNNNNNNNNNNNNNNNNNNNNNNNNNNNNNNNNNNNNNNNNNNNNNNNNNNNNNNNNNNNNNNNNNNNNNNNNNNNNNNNNNNNNNNNNNNNNNNNNNNNNNNNNNNNNNNNNNNNNNNNNNNNNNNNNNNNNNNNNNNNNNNNNNNNNNNNNNNNNNNNNNNNNNNNNNNNNNNNNNNNNNNNNNNNNNNNNNNNNNNNNNNNNNNNNNNNNNNNNNNNNNNNNNNNNNNNNNNNNNNNNNNNNNNNNNNNNNNNNNNNNNNNNNNNNNNNNNNNNNNNNNNNNNNNNNNNNNNNNNNNNNNNNNNNNNNNNNNNCUCUGGACCUCCUUCCCCCUGGCUCCUAUGCUUCCCCCCCAUGACCGAGAGCCGCCGCCGACGUCGCUCGCAACCACCGUGGCCACCGGCCACCCCUCGCCCUGUCGAUAAGCCCAGAAGAACCGCCGUCGUCUCCUGCAUCGUCUACGCCAGCCCGUUCGACUGCGGGAGCCCUGCAUCGCCGCCCACGCCGUCUCCCCCAUCUCCGGCCGCCCGAGAUCGCCGGCGCCCGCUCGCCACCUCCGAUGUCUCCCCCGAGCCGCUGGGCCUCCAAUCGACCCCCUGUAAGCCCCGCCAUCGUUCACCCCUACCCCCGUUCCCUUUUGCUCGCUCUGGCCGCCGAUUCCAUCAAGGCCGAAAACUACCGCCGCGCGAGCUCGACUCCGGCGAAACCCCGGUGACCAUUUGGUCACGGGCGUGCACCCGUUGUGCUUGCCGCGACCCGUAGAGCCCCUCCAGCGCCUCAGCUCCCUCGCUUGUGAGCAGCAGCGCCGAACCCGACCGCACCCGAACUCCGGCCGCCGCCGAUUUGGUCGCCGCCGUCGAUCCCGACCACCGCAGCUGCUGCCGCCACCACCGCUGGAUGCGCGAGUCUUCCAGCUCGCUGUAGCCGCAAACCCCGAGCAAAACGGUGCCCUGUAGCACCGUCCCGAGCAACUCCGGCGAGGUCUCGCCAUCGCCGUGGUCGCCGGCGUCACUAGCUGACGUGGCUCCGUCAUUAGGAGCUAAUCCAACUAACUAAACCACCUACAGCCACUGACAGUAGGCCCUACCCCUGGUCAAACCCCAGUCAGCGCUGGGUUUGACCGGGAUUAGUUCCUGUGUCACUGACGUGUGGACCCCGCACGUCAGGUUUGACCUGGACCUGGCCGUUGACUCGCUGACGUCAUGCUGGCGUCAGGCUGACGCAGUUAAAUCAUUUACUGGAUUUAUUUUAAUUCAAGAAAUUUUAGAAAAAUGUAUAAACUUCUAAAAAAUCAUAGAAAUUCAACCGUAACUCCAAAUUAAAUAAAUUAUAUAUGAAAAAUUAUCAGAAAAAUUCAAGGAAUCCAUCUGUACCAUUUUCAUGCAUGUUAGAACAACUUAUAGCUGCUGUUUAGCACAAAUCAAUUAAAUGGCAUUUGAAUAAUUACAUAUGGAGUUUAAAUUUGAAUCUUGUAUUCAAACCAACUUCAUUUAAUCUGUUGCUAGUUGCAUUAGCUCAAAACACAUUCAUAUUGCCAUGUCAUGAGCAUGCAUCAUAUUGUGCAUUGCAUUGAUUGUAUUUCUUCUUUGUUGCCGGUAUCUGUUUCCUCCCGGUAGACGAUGUUCCGACGUUGUGAUCAUUGACACUGAUGAAGACUCAAUGUUAUCUUCAGAAGUGCCAGGCAAGCAAAACCCCCUUGUUCAUUCCGAUACAAUCCUACUCUCUCGCUCCUGCUCUCUUUUACUGCAUUAGGACAACAUUGAUUCAUCUGUUACUUGCUGCGGUAGCUGAACCCCUUUAUCCUUUGCAUGACCUGUCAUUGCCACAGUAAAUAGAUGAAACCCACUAGCAUGAGUAGGAGUUGUUUGAGCCCUGUUGUGCCUACUCAUUCAUGUUUGUUUGUCAUGCCUGCUACUGCUUAGAGUUGAGUCGGGUCUGAUUCAUCGGGGAUGAAUCAGAGGCGUGUGAACCUGUCCUACUGUGUGUGAGCUAAGUGUGUGAACACGAUUUGGUAAAGGUAGCGGUGAGAGGCCAUGUAGGAGUACAUGGUGGGUUGUCUCAUUGAAGCCGUCCUUAGGAACUGAGUUCUGUGUUUGUGAUCCAUGAUUCAGCUACUACCAUACAUUGGGCCCUGAAAUAUGACCCCGCUCGACUUCUUAUUCACCCAAGUCCUCUGUCCAGGAGUUGAAAGUAGUUUCUGGUGUUUGUAGCUUACUGGAGGCCGUGGACAGCGCUGACCGUAGGGGUGGGCUGUGAUGCGGUAGGUACGUGGCACGGUGUACCAGAUGCCCGUUUGGUAUCUCGGGAACCCUGUUCACAUCGUUUGGGGCUGUGAGCGAAACUCCGGCCGGAUCUCCUCAUGGAUGGAACCCGAAUAGGCGAUAAACCUGGACUAGAGACUUGAGUGUUUAGGUAGGUCAUGGUCUACACCCACGUCGGCUUUCGCUUGAAGUCUGCCGAGCACAUGUCGUGUGCAGACGCUAAGUGGUGGAAACAUGUAUGAAGAAGUACACCCCUACAGGGUUAACAUCAUCUAUUCGAAUAGCCGUGUCCGCGGAAAAGGACUUCUGGGUUGCUUAUAUCAGUUCAUAGACAAGUGAAAGUGGAUACUCUAAAAUACGCAAGAUAAGCAUGAGUGCUAUGGAUGGCGUUCUCGUAGGGAGACGGGAGCGGAUCCAUAGUGGCGUAUUGAUAUGGUGAAUAUGUGGACUCGUGUGCGCCACCUCAAAAGAGUUGCUUGCAGUCGUAGUUUAGGAUAGCCACCGAGUCAAAGCUGGCUUGCUGCAGUUAAACCCCACCAUCCCCUUUGUUGAUAAUGAUGCAUAUGUAGUUAGUUCUGAUGUAAGUCUUGCUGGGCACAUUUGUACUCACGUUUGCCUAUUUUAUGUUUUUGCAGAGAGACUUCGGUCUCACUAGUAGUUUCGCGUGGACUUCGACAUUUAGCUUGUUACCUCAGCUACGAUCUUGUGCCCUCGGCAGGAUCUAGUAGAUAGUCAGGCUUCUCAGCCUUUUUCAUUUAUAGUUAUCUGUACUCAGACAUGUUAAGCUUCCGCUUGUGCUUUGAUUUGUAUGCUCUGAUUGUUGGGUCAUGAGACCCAUGUUUGUAAUAUCUCGCUCCUCGGAGCCUAUUGAAUAAAUACUUGUGUCGUAGAGUCAUGUUGUGAUGCCUUGUUGUAUUUGCACAUAUCGAGUAUAUUGUGUGUAUGAUUGAAAUGCUUGGUAUGUGUGGGAUCUGACUAUCUAGUUGUUUAUCCUUAGUAGCCUCUCUUACCGGGAAAUGUCUCCUAGUGUUUCCACCGAGCCAGGGUAGCUUGCUACUGCUCCGGAACACUUAGGCUGGCCGGCAUGUGUCCUUCUUCGUUCCUGUGUCUGUCCCUUCGGGGAAAUGUCACGCGAUGGAUACCGGAGUCCUGCUAGCCCAGUGCUACAGCCUGGAUUCACUCGCUGAUGACCGACACGUUCGAUGCUGGGUCAUGGAUGCCUGUCCCUGUAAGUUUGUGCCACUUUGGGUUUACGACUAGCCAUGUCAGCCCGGGCUCCUUAUCAUAUGGAUGCUAGCGACACUGUCAUAUACGUGUGCCAAAAGGCGCAAACGGUCCCGGGCAAAGGUAAGGCGACACCCGUGGGAAUACCGUGCGUGAGGCCGCAAAGUGAUAUGAGGUGUUACAUGCUAGAUCGAUGUGACAUUGAGUCGGGGUCCUGACAGUCAACACCAUAGGUGAUGGCUUUUGUGCCAACCACGUAGCAAUGUCAUCGAUGGAUCCUUGUGCCAAACGAUUCUUCAACCAUUCGUCAUAGUUCUUAGUGUGCUCCUUCAUCUCCACAUCUGAUGAAGGCACCAUUGGUAAGAAGCUGUUGCGUAUCUCUGCCAAGUGUUCUUCGGCAUAGGCGAUGAGAACUGGGCUGUUAAGCAGUACCUUCAAAUGGGACUUCUCUGCCAAUUCUCUGGGUGCAUCCAUUUGCGUGCCAGCAAGGACCGUCUUACCUUUCAGCCUUCCCUCGUGGCAAGAUAAGGGCAAACCUAUAGGUCUUUGUUUCAUGUAUUCGGUGCAAAACUCAACCACCUCCUCCGCAGUAUAACCUUGUAGGAUGCUUGCCUGGAUGGUUUCAGUUCCGACAAAAGUGCUUCAGUAUUCCCAUGAGCCGCUCAAAGGGAUACAUGUUGCGAAGAAACACAGGACCACAAUAAUAUGUCUUGUCGACAAGGUGCACAGUGAGAUGGACCAUGACAUCAAAGAAUGGCAGUGGGAAAAACAUCUCUAGGUUGGAUAAUAUUCUUGCAAUAUCAUCUUGCAUAUGAUCCAACUCUUCGGGAUUUACAACUUUCUUCCAUAGUUGGUUAAAGAAAUCACAGAGGUCAAUGAGUGUGUUUCUUAUAUCUUUGUCCAUCAGAUUCCCGAUGGCCACCGGGAGGAUUUGUGUCAACAUUACGUGGCAAUCAUGUGACUUCAUGUGUCCCAACUUCAUUUUACCUGAGCUCACAUCCAUGAGACUUCUGAUGUUUGCGCAGUAGGAAGAGGGUGUCUUAAUUGACAACAAAUAGGUGGAGAACUGUGUUGCUUCUUUUGUAUUGAAAUUGUAACUCUCGCGAGCUUUGAUGAAUUUGUCAUCAUCUUCUGCUUCACUCUUGCAUUUUGAUUGAUCAGCAAGCAUAUCGAGCCGUGAACCGUCACCAUCCUUUAUUUUACCUUUAAUCUUGAGCAGAUACGAAGGAUGCUUUCACAUACAUUCUUCUCUAUGUGCAUGACAUCGAUGUAGUGACGUACACGUAGAAUCUCCCAGUAAGGUAAUUUCCAGAACACCGAUUUCUUCUUAAAAACUAGACCCUUGGGUGUUUGUUUCACCAUCAAAGGGUGGUUCUUGCCAAGCACAACAUUAAUUUUUUAGCCAUGUUGUGGACCACCUCCCCGUCAUAGGGUCUUGGGCCCGCACCUGCCUCUGCUGUACCAUCAAAUUCAGCUUUCAUCUUUCAGUAUGUAUGAUUUUUCCGCAAGAACCUACGAUGACACAAAUACACUGUUUUACGCGAGUUGGUAAGUCUUCUGAUAGCUAUCCUAUCCAUGCAUGUGACACACCCUACAUUUCCCCUUAUUUUCUGCCUUGAUGUGUUUCCUAAUGUCGGCAUAUCUUGAAUGGUGUGCACCAGCAUCGCAUGUAGAUCGAAAAUCUCCUUUCUAUAAGCAUCAUAACAUUUUAUAGCAGGCGCAUCUAUCCACACUGUCAGCCGUUCUUCUACCAGUAGCUGAAAGUAAAUGUCGAUGUCAUUUCCAGGUUGCUUCGGGCCUUGGAUAAUCAUUGACAUCAUAAGGUAUUUUUCUCCAUACACAACCAAGGAGCAAGGUUAUAUAUGCACAGAAGCACCGGCCAUGUGAUGUGCUUGGUGCUCAUAUCACCAAAAGGAUUCAUCUCGUCAGUACACUCCCCGAGCCUUAUACUUAUAGAAUCCUUGGCAAAAAUUUCAAACUUUUUGUCGAUUAAUUCCCAUUGAGCCCCAUCUUUCGGGUGCCUCAUAAACCUAUCCGCAAUUCGCUCAUCAUAAUGCCACCGCAACCUCUUUGCCUCUCUAGGGUUUGCAAACAAGCGCCUCAACCUUGGAAUUAAAGGCAAGUACCAAACAACCUUGAACAUGAUUCCUAUCUUGAUCUCGUCGUCCAAUUUGUACUUGUCCUUUGCUCUCCUGCGCUUGUAUCAUGAAUGCUUGCAUGUGGGACAUGCACGCAAAUCUUUGUACUCACCACGGUACAAUAUAAAAUCAUUCACACAAGCGUGUAUCUUCUGUACUUCAAGUUCCAAUGGGCAAAAAAAAUUCUUCGCUUCAUUCGUGCUUCUGGGGAGCACAUUAUCUUCCAGAAGAAUUUAUUUGAAAAGACCUAACAUCUCUGUGAAGCCCUUGUUUGCUAGACCAUUUGCUGCUUUAAAUCUAAGAAGCGCCAGGGUGGCACCAAGAUCGUCAUCAUCUGCCCCGAUGUUAGAUUCAACAUCCAUGUGACACUGAUCGGGGUUUGGCAUCUCGCUGCCCUGGGUAUCUUCAUCCAUGACCUACUCUUCACCGUGUCUGGUCCAACAUGUAUAUCCAUCCAUGAAUCCCCUAGAGACUAAGUGCAUCUGGACAUCUGCAACU